rnacentral:rRNA from 1 species
ACAAAAAAAAAAAGAAGNANGGANUUAAAAAUUUCCCCGCCCGCCGGAAGGGCGGGGGUUAAAAAAAUUGAGGGGGGGANUUAAAAACUGGGCCCCUAGACCACAAAAGAGACAAGCGCACCUCCUCGCGCCGCGGCGAAAUGCUAGAGAGAUUAGGAAGAACACCACCGCCCCCGCCGCCCUUUCUGCACUGUAACUGACGCUGAGGCACGAAAGCGGGGGUGGCAAACGGGAUUAGAUACCCUGGUAGCCCACGCCGUAAACGAUGGAUACUAGGUGUAGGGGGUAUCAACUCCCCCUGUGCCGCAGUUAACACAAUAAUUAUCCCGCCUGGGGAGUACGGUCGCAAGAAUAAAACUCAAAGGAAUUGACGGGGGCCCGCACAAGCAGCGGAGAUGGUGGUUUAAUUCUGAAGCAACGCGAAGAACCUUACCUGUACUUGACAUCCCCUUGCAUAGCCCAAGAGAUAGGUGAAGCCCUUCGGGGCAAGGAGACAGGUGGGUGCAUGUGUUNCGUCAGCUUCGUGUCGGGAGAUGUUAGGUUAAGUCCUGCAACGAGCGCCACCCUUGUUAUUAGUUGCUACCAUUAAGUUGAGCACUCUAAUUGAGACUGCCUAGGUAACCAGGAGGAAGGGGGGGGAUCCCCUCAAAAUCAUCAUGCCCCUUUAUGUCCAGGGCUACACCCCGUGCUAUCAAUGGUAGGUACCAAUAAGCACGCAAUAACCGUGAGGGGGAGCAAAAACUUAUAAAAACCAAUCUCAGUUCCGAAUGUAGGCUGCCACUCCCCUACAUGAAGUUGGAGUUGCUAGUAAAUCGCCAAUCUGAAUGUCCCGGGUGAAAACGUUCCCGGGUCUUUGUACCCACCGCCCCGUCAAACCCGGGGAGC